CCCUUAGAUGUUCUGGGCCGCACGCGCGCUACACUGAUGCAUUCAACGAGCCUAGCCUUGACCGAGAGGUCCGGGUAAUCUUUGAAACUGCAUCGUGAUGGGGCUAGAUUAUUGCAAUUAUUAAUCUUCAACGAGGAAUGCCUAGUAAGCGUGAUUCAUCAAAUCGCGUUGAUUACGUCCCUGCCCUUUGUACACACCGCCCGUCGCUCCUACCGAUUGAGUGGUCCGGUGAGGCUUUGGGAUCUGAGCGGAAAGAGCGUUUCGCUGUUUCUGCUCGGAAAACUCAGUCGAACCUUAUCAUUUAGAGGAAGGAGAAGUCGUAACA
rnacentral:rRNA from 1 species